rnacentral:rRNA from 1 species
UACGGAGGGGGGCUAGCGUUGUCCGAAGUUACUGGGCGUAAAGCACGCGUAGGCGGGUUGGUAAGUCCGCUGUGAAAGCCCCGGAGCUUAACUCCGGAGGGUCGGUGGAUACUGCCAGUCUUGAAGGUGCUAGGGGGAGAUGGAAUUACCGGUGUAGCGGUGAAAUGCGUAGAUAUCGGUAGGAACACCAGUGGCGAAGGCGGUCUCCUGGGGCAUUCUUGACGCUGAGGCGCGAAAGCUGGGGGAGCGAACGGG